AAAAUAUGAUGAGGCCAUUCUCUAAUAAUUUCCUUAAAUACUUUUCAACUCUUAUAAAUGUAUUCUCCUUCAAAAUGAGUAAAAUAAGUCAUGUCAUUUCUAACUUU